rnacentral:lncRNA from 1 species
CCGGGUGGACCGACUGCAUCUCCUCCUUGCCAUCCUCCAUGUACCGGUAAUGAAGCUCACUGCUGCUCAUGGGAGGAGGUCGAGUAACUUAAAGUCUCAUUUUCUCUCUCGAUUUCUCUUCUCUCUCGUUGAUUGCUGUUACUGUUCGUUGUUAUGGAGAAGAGGGACGAGCUGAGUUCUCUGUGAGAAGCGUGGGUUGCCGGUGAAAGCUUUGAUUUCAACUAAAAAUAGUGGAGAAGGGUUUUGCAAAAGAGAUCGACAAUGGAAGGAGUUCAACCAAUGGUGACUGAGCGCUUUUGUUGGUGGUGUCGUCGUCGUUGACGUGUCACUCAUAAUAUGGUGGUUUGUGGUUGGUCAACAGCGGAGAGGGUGACUAGUUGUAGCCUUGUAGGGUGC